rnacentral:tRNA from 1 species
AAUGAAGUGCCUGAACUAAAGGAUUAUCUUGAUAGGGUAAAUAAUGUAUUUAUUAUACCUUCAUUA